rnacentral:lncRNA from 1 species
AUGGACAAGACACUGAUGGAAUGGGCAAGAAAGACCAUCCUGCACAACAACGUUGCCAGGUUCCUGGACUCACUUUUUAUAAUGCUCCGUAAAGUACAUGCUCUGGGCUUUAGGCCCAUCCUCCUCAUAGGGAAGCAGUCCCGUGGAGGCUGCUGGGGAGUAGAAAUCAUGAUGCCUACCAACCCUCAGCCAGGUCUGGAGGAGGACUGCCUCCAGGAGCUGCUCAAAUACUAUGAAUCUUUACUGAAGCAUAUGCCUGACAACCAGUCCCCCACCAACUCCACAAAAGCCACUAGUGGUAGUGCCCUGGAAGGACAAGAGGGACAGGAUGGAGACGUGGGUGACGUUAGCACUGGGGAAGGAGUGGACAAAAGGGCUGCAGAUGUGGAAGUGGGAGAAGACGAUGGAGAUAGAACUGAGGGAGAUGAAGAGGACAUGGAACCUGACUACCGGCCACCUGCCAAGAAGACAAAGUAGAGUGAGCUCCACUACACCACAGAGGUGUGCUCUCCAAACUCUAUUUAGCCAUAAUAGUCUUUUUUUAAAUGUUGUAUGCAUGUUCCUGUUUUCUAUCAACUAUCUGUCUAUGUGAGAGGCCCGAUAAAUAAACGACUUAAGGCAGAAAAACAGCAUCAUUCAUUAUUUUAAUCUCCUUGUUGAAAUGUACCAAUCCAGACAAAAUACAUACAUCUACUGAAAUGUAAAACAAUGACAGUCCACCAAGGUUUAGGCUUACUUCAAUUUGCGUACGGUCUGUAUUUAUGACUGGUUAUCAAAUCAAAGUUUAUUUGCAGAUGUUAUCGCAGGUGGAGCGAAUUGCUUGUGUUUCUAUCUCCAGCAGUGCAGUGAUAAUACCUAGAAAACAUUAAGCACAUCAUCCAAAAGCAAAGGUUGGGUGGUUCUACUACGACAGCCCUAGUGUGUGUGUCUGUGUUGUGGAGCCUGUGUUCAUACUCAUUCUCUCUUCAGGUAUUAUCAGAAGAGGGUGCUGAUAUCAGAUCUACCUGAAGAGACUCAGAGACAGCAGAGGGAGGCCUGGAGAGAAGCAUCCAGACGCCGUCGUGCCCGCGAAUUGUCCUCCCUUCAGACGAACCCCACACAGCCCUGCCACCUCCCCCAGAACACAGAGACACCUGGGGGGACUAGGGGACGCCACAGGGGCAGGCAGUAGGGUGGAAAGUUUGGAUAGCUACUGGACAGUCUUCUUUUGACAUUCUAUACAGACCACUUGCUUAAAAUGAGAUCUUGAGCAUGGCCUUUAACAAUUUCAGGACUGAAUAGAUACCUGGUUCAUCUCUGUAAUUGAUGUCAUUGAGCCUAUCAACAGGAGGCACUGUUUGUGCAUGUUCAGGAGUUUCCUGACAGGUUGAACUUACAGGUGUACCUUGUCAUCCAUACUUGCAGCGUUAUUCUAUCAGGUGUUCAAUUUAGCAUAAAAUAUUGUACAGUUUGUAAUAGCAAUAAAGUGAGACAAAUGUUUUCCCUUUUUCAUUUAAACAUACUGUCCAUCUUUUGCAAAUGAAUAACAUUUAACAAACUGAAGUAUUUUUUUGUAUUUCAAAUGGUUCUGAUUUGAAACAAUUGAAUAGUUGUUAUAGAAUUAUGACCAACAUAAAUCCCUUGAUUUUGGAAGAAUAUGACUUAUUUAUAUCUUUAUUACCUUAUGAUCGAACAAGUUUGAAUACCCUCAUUAAGAGCCUAGGUGGCAGCCUCCCUGGAUCCUUUGCUAUUUGCAGACUGCCCUAAAACUGCUGUUGAAGAUGCUCUUCUCUAUCUCCCCCACAGAGCACAAUAUUCUUUGACUUCUCCAGUGCAUUCAAUACCAUACAACCCCACCUACUGGCCCAAAAGCUAACGGACAUUCAUCUCAACCCACACAUAAACAAAUGGAUUGUGAUCUGACCAAUAGACCACGGUUCGUAAGACUGAACCAGGCAGUAUCAGAUCGGAUAUGUACAAACAUGGGGGCCCCCAGGCUUCUUAAUGAGUGUAAUAACGACUGAUUUAUGGUUAAUGUUGUUUCUGCUUGUUUCCCCAGAGUAGGAUAGACAACUGCAUUUCUUAACUCCUUUGAAUUGAACUCUAUGUUUUAUGGCGUCUAAGGUGCAGGUGCCUUCAUACUGUAUGUGUCUUUGUUUUCAUUAUGUGUUUGUUCCAUGUCUUCUCUUGUCCUUGUAAUUUAUUGAUGAUGCUUAGUGCUAAAACCAUUUCCCAAGUCGGGAUCAAUAAAGUACUACUCUACUCUCUACUCGUCACAGAAAAAAUAAGCACAAAUUACUUAAUUAUGAAUCCUUUAUCUUGACUAAAUGCAGCUUGAUAUAACAUUGAGAAGAUGAACUAUCUUGACAAACCUUGUGUGGAGUGAUUCUAACUGUAGAUAGGAAAUGUGCAUGCAGAGUAACUCAAGAGGUUGCACCAGUGUAGUCAAACAGGCAAUACAGUAACCCCUUUUGGACCACAAGCAGAAAUAAGGCAGGUUGUGAGAUAUGAGAUGUUGAUUAUGAUAGGUUGUAUUAGAUUGUAUUCUACAGACUUGGUGGCGGUUCUAGCUUGUAUGCCCCCCCCCAAAAAGCACCAUUCUGCACUAACUGUCAUUUUUAUUCACCCCAAAAUACUCAAUAUAUCACAAAAUAUAAAAAAUAUCAGCAUAAUUUAGACGUCUUCUAAGUUAGCCUACAGCAUUGGAAAUUC